rnacentral:rRNA from 1 species
CAGUAGCCGCGGUAAUACGGAGGGAGCUAGCGUUGUUCGGAAUUACUGGGCGUAAAGCGCGCGUAGGCGGUUACUCAAGUCAGAGGUGAAAGCCCGGGGCUCAACCCCGGAACUGCCUUUGAAACUAGGUGACUAGAAUCUUGGAGAGGUCAGUGGAAUUCCGAGUGUGGAGGUGAAAUUCGUAGAUAUUUGGAAGAACACCAGUGGCGAAGGCGACUGACUGGACAAGUAUUGACGCUGAGGUGCGAAAGCGUGGGGAGCAAACAGGAUUAGAGACCCCCGUAGUCCCUGUCUCUUAUAC